rnacentral:tRNA from 1 species
GAGCGAAUCGCCCAAUUGGUAGGGCAAUUAUUUUGGGAAUAAUGUGUUCUGAGUUCGAUCCUCAGUUUGUUCA